ncrna:unclassified sequences IS605-orfB-I RNA
GUCGUAUAAAGAUGUAUUAGACGCAAGACAGUCUAUCAUCUCCCUUUACGGCAGAUAAUAUUAGAUGUUCAAGCAAAAGUAAUUGUUGCAUGGUUAAUAAUCGAAACAAUUUGAGUUUGAAUGGAACAGGUUAACCGUAUGACCUUGUGCUGAAAAACACUAAAAACAAUCUUGAAGUAGUGAAAUCUGAAUUUUCGUUAUUUUGAGUUACGGUUAG